AGGACGAACGCUGGCGGCGUGCUUAACACAUGCAAGUCUACGAGAAAAAGGUAGCAAUAUCUUGAUUAAAGUGGCGCACGGGUGAGUAACACGUAAGUAAUCUACCCAUGGAUUUGGAAUAACCCCGCGAAAGUGGGGCUAAUACCGUAUAAUGCAGCGGCACCGCAUGGUGAUGUUGUUAAAGUUUAUAUGACGUCUAUGGAUGAGCUUGCGUCCGAUUAGCUAGUUGGUAGGGUAAAAGCCUACCAAGGCUACGAUCGGUAGCUGGUCUGAGAGGAUGAUCAGCCACACUGGAACUGAGACACGGUCCAGACUCCUACGGGAGGCAGCAGUGAGGAAUAUUGGGCAAUGCCCGGAAGGGUGACCCAGCAACGCCGCGUGGAGGAUGAAGGCCGUAAGGUUGUAAACUCCUGUUAGAGGGGAAGAAAAAUCCCGAUCGAAUCGGGAACUGACUGUACCCUCAGAGGAAGCCCCGGCUAACUAC
rnacentral:rRNA from 1 species